rnacentral:lncRNA from 1 species
CGAGAGUUGGCUGUUGCUUGCUGCUUGCUGCAUAAGGUUGUUCUUUUCGUCCGGCUGUCUAACUAUGUAGACUCUAACUCUCCCUUCAGGAGUCCAGCAAUUAACAUCUGCUGUUGAACAUCCAUUAUCCUAUAACAUCCUUUGUUGUUUUAUUACGUAUCCAUAACUGUAAGAAUAAACCUGAAGAAACCGUAAGUCAGAUUGCGUAUUGGUAUUUUUAGUUAAUAUAGACAUAUAUCAACCUGGCGUGCCUUUUACCCAAGAAGAAAUAUAUAUAAAAUACUUAUUUCAAUCAAUCUGGAACAACACAGAGAAAAGGCAAUUGUAUUACAUCUGGCUGGCCAUCCAGUCUUCUAUUCAAGUUUUUUUUCCCACUUCCAGGGGGAGAGAGAAUAAUCGAGUUACAAAGCUGAGUUUUGGAACUAGGAAAUCAAACUUGAAGAGAAAAAAAAGAAUCGAGACUGUGUCACAGAGACUAAGAAUAUUUGCACAGAAAAAGAACUGCGUGAAGAACUGUGUGUUUGUAAGAAAAAGAACGUUUUCAAACCAGAAAGACUGUACAAGAUUAUUUUCUGCAAGCUACAACGUGAAUUCUAGAAGCAAGUAUGUGUCAGAGAUUGGAAAGUUUCCAGAUCCAGGUCCAGAACUGCGCAGCUGUGUGGAUGAGGCUACGAAAUAGACAAAAAUAACUGAUCAAUUGUUUGUGAAUAAGAAAAACAUAAAAGAUCAGAAAUGUUUAUGAAUCUAGUCUGUAUUUACAAUGCAUUGAUUUGUAAACGAGAUGCAGGUCAAGAAAAUUUAGACUCAGCAGAUAGAGAAAUAGAUUUGAAUGAGUUUACUGAUGACAAAUCAGAUUUAAAUGAAAAGUGUAACAAUGUAACUCAGGGUACAUGCUGUAACUGUGAGAGAUUGUCAGAAACAGUCUGUGAACUAGGGGAUAGAGUUGAACUAAGAAAUUAUCCUAUUUGCCAGCUUAGAAAUGAAGUAAAGCAAGUGUGUGUGAACACAAGAAAAGUGCAGGCAUAGAAUUUAUUCCCAGAACUAAUAGAUAUGUGAGAACAUAUCCUCACAGAGUGAUUUGCAGAAAUGUAAAUUUCAAGACAGAGCAAAACUUAAUUUGAAAAUCCAUGAACAAUUAAAGGGCCACUAUAGUGCCAGGAAAACACUCAUUUUCCUGGCUCUAUAGGGUCCUUGGGUCCCCCUCCUGCCGGGCUCUAGGGGGAGGAAGGGGUUAAUCCCUUACCUUUUUUCCAGCACCGGGCUCCCUCGGUGCUGGGGACUCUCCUCUUCCUUUCCUGUCAUCGGCUGAAUGCGCAUGCGCGGCAUGAGCUGCGCACGCAUUCAGCCAGUCUCAUAGGAAAGCAUUCUCAAUGUUUUCCUAUGGACGGCACUGUGAAAAUCCCAGUGAGAAGCGCCUCUAGCAGCUGUCAAUGAGACAGCCACUAGAGGCUGGAUUAACCCAUUUGUAAACAUAGCAGUUUCUCUGAAACUGAAACUGCUAUGUUUACAGCAGAAAGGGUUAAUCCUAGAGAGACCUGGCUGAAGUGGUCUGGAUGCCUUUAGUGGUCAUUUAAUGAAAAUUUUGAAAGGUAUUCCAGUUUAUGAGUUUAUAAGUUUAUAAGUCAGUGGAUUCAAUUACUAAUGCUAAAAUGUUUGAGUCAAAUUUGGACAAAUAUAACCCAAAUGACAAACAAAGGAAUAGACUAUUUAAAAUAUGGCUGCCGCCUCAAAUGGCAUGUAGGCUGACCGUGCCCGUAAGAUUUGAGGACAAUGAUGAAAUAAUGUAUGAGAAUGGACAAGACAGAUUAACACAGUUAAUAAAAUUAACAGGGAAUGAUUUAGCAGACAUUGAAAUGUUGGAAAAACUAAAACCACACAAUUAUGAUAUUUUUGGUUUUCUUGUAAAAUUUGAAAGUGCAUAUAGACUUGUUGCCAAUUUUCCUGAAGAUCAGUUAAUUAAUGAAUUUGUGAAAAAAUGUAAAGGUCUAGAUCCAACUGCAAUUAUAAUUGCUAAAGAAAAAAGAACUAUGAGAGAAGUUGCUUUGUUUUUACACAAAUUAAGGCGGGAGUCCAGAAAUGAAGGAGUUAAAAUGGCUUGUGAAAUUAGGCAGAGAAAGACUUUGACUCCUCCUCCUUCUUGGACAAAGUGUGAAAGAGUGAUACAGAUAGCUGAACCCCUCCCAGUUUUCUCUACUAGAAACUGCAGAGCUAACAAUCAAAGGCAGAAUGUAACCCGUAAAGUUAUUUUUAUUUUUUUUUUGCAAAAAAAAAAAUAAUAUUUAAGGUCUUACAGAUAUUUUAUCCGAGAUAUCAAAUCAAAUGGAAAUGAGAAAAUAAAUCUGUUGAUUAAAAAUUUGAUAAAAGAAAUACAUGUAGUGAUAAAUCAAUAAUGGCCUUUCCUUGUAAACUGAUAAUCAGACAAAUAAGUGAAAUUUUAGCUAAAUAGAAAUUAGGCUCAGAUAACCUCACAAGACAUGAUCAGUUUAGAGAAUGAGCAUGGAUGUGUGUGCCAACAGAUGUACACAGGCUGAUUCCAGAGAUAACAGCAUACGAAUAGAGAUCUAUGUUUGUUUGUUGUCUUACUGAUUUUUUAUUCUUAACUGUUUUACAUUGUUUUUAUGUGUGGUAUAAAAAGGUAUUAUGUUAACUAACUAAAAUAAAUAUGCACAUCAAGGUUGCAAGUAUGGCAACAUGAAAUACACUAAUGUAGCAGUUGUUAGGAACAUACAUUGUAUGUUUAUUGCUCACAACGGAUGUAUUCCUUGUUACUUCUGGGGUAUAUUUAAAAUAUUUGAUGUAAUUCAUGAGAAUGAGAUUUUAAUAUCAUGCCUGAUAAUGGAUUACUAUAUUUUGCAAAGCAUGGACAUACAUAUGUUUUGACUAUAUAUAAGACCAAAGUUUUGAUAGGUUAAAAACCUAGAUUUGCAAAUACAUUUGAUGUAGGAAACAAUAUUUGUCUUUUGUAGUUUUGUUUCAUGUGACAAAAUGGUGCCAGUGUUAAGACAAGAUGGCUACUAUUGCUAAAGUGUAGUGUAAAACAACAUUAUUCAGUAAUAUCUGAAAUAUGACAAGAUUAUACCUCCAGAUUAUUAAACAGUUUAAAAGGGGGGUAUGAUUAGUAAAGAGUUG